GAUCGAGUAGGCUAGGGCGGAAUUGCGUAACUGACAUUCACCCACAAUUCCUGGCAUUCUUCCGGUUUCCUUUAUCUGAUUCCUAAGAUGGCGGACCGGCGACGUCGAAGGAGGCGCGCAUCGCAGGACAGCGAGGAGGACGAUGAAUCUGGUUCGGGAUCAGAAAGUGGAAAGUCCCUUUCGCCAACGACAAAGCCCCGAGUACGGGACCCUGAACCAGUAGAGGCACCAGCUGUUCGUGUGGUGCCGGAAAACGCGGUUGAAUCCGAGUGUGAAAGUGAAGAUGGUGUAGGAGAAGCUGUCCUUUCUGACUAUGAAAGCGCAGAUCCUGAGGAGAAUGGCUCCCAUUCAGAGGGAGGUGAGGAGGAGGAAGAGGUCCCUCCACCGGCUGCUGGGCCCAAACCCACUCCUGCUUCCGACACCCCUGCUGCAGAGGGGGAGCUGAAGGAAGGAGGGGGAAAGGAUGAGGAGGGUGAGAAAAGUAUGAGGAAAGAAGUGAAGUGUGAAGACAAAGGCAACCUGGCAGGGGAGCGUCAAAGCGGGGAUGGACAGGAAAGCACAGAGGACUCUGAGAAUAAAGGCGCUAAACCAGGCCAGAAGCUGGAUGAUGACCAGGAUCGUAAUAACCCAGCCUAUAUCCCCCGUAAGGGAAUGUUCUUUGAGCACGACGUCAGAGGAAAUGCACAGGAGGAGGAACGGCCUAAGGGUCGUAACAGGAAGCUGUGGAAGGAUGAGGGUCGCUGGGAACACGAUAGGUUCAGGGAGGAGGAGCAGGCGCCCAAGUCACAUGAGGAGUUGGUUGCGAUCUAUGGCUAUGACAUCCGCAACGGAGGUGUCUCCAAUGAGCGGUCCUAUAGACAGCGCAAGCCCAGACACAGCACCUCUCCAGUCCGGGACAAGCGCUGGCAGGACGGAGACUGGGAGAGGCCUGUCCAUACCUCCUGGCAGCAAGGAGGGAACCCCAACAGCCGUAGCGCCCCCCCAGCCGUGGCCCUGCAGCAGUCUGGUCCUCCCCCCUCAGCAGCCCCAAACACCCAGCGCAGUAACAACCCCCCCAGGCCCUCCUCCCACCCCCCACCCCGGGGCUUCCAGGGCAACCGCCCUCCCCAGGCCCACCACAGGAAUGACCGAAACCAGGACUCCCAACGGCCAGGCCCCAAGGCCGAGCCCCUCCAGACUCGGAGUUUACCGCCCAUGGACGGGGAACAAGGCCCCAGGGGCCGGGGGAACAGAGGGGCCCAUACAGAGCGCAGCCCUUCGGUCGUGGUGGAAGAGGUCCGCAGCGAGGAGGAUGACGAGCGCAACACAACUACAGUGACAACGUCACAGUCCGUGUACUACAAUCGCCACUACAGUGGCAAGGGAGAUCGUGAAAGGGACUCUGCGCCACCGCCACGACGACAGGAGCAGCAGCGAGGGGGCUCUGCUCCUCCGGCAGACGACCAGGUUACCCGCGAUGUCUCCCCGGCUCCAGAGCGCCCCGUGGAGAAGAAGUCUUAUUCCCUAGCCAGGAGAACUCGCACCCGGGCCACUGAGCUGGGCAAGCAGGCCUCUCUUGAGGAGCCUGCCUCCACUGUCUCUUCCUCGGCCCUGAAGAGUGAGCCGUGGCAUGGCCCCGGUCAGAGUCAGGGGGAUGCUGGAGACAGCAGCCAGGGGACAGUACUCACAGGGUUGGACCAGGACUUGACCAGACUCAGCCUGGCCGGACCGAACUGGCCCCAGAACCCAUCUUCGUAUCUACGCGCUGAGAUGAGGGGCAUCCCUAGCUCUAUACACAUGGGUGGAGCACCUCCACAAUACAGUAACAUAGAAGAGCUGGGAGCUGGUAACCGGGCAAAGCGGUACUCGUCCCAGCGCCAGAGGCCAAGCCCGGAGCCCGCUCCUCCUAUGCACAUAGGGGUCAUGGAGGGCCACUACUAUGAGCCCAUGUCUUACCAAGGACCAAUCUAUUCCCACGGUGACAGCCCCGCCCCCCUCCCACCCCAGGGCAUUCUGGUCCAGCCUGAGAUGCACCUCCCCCACCCAGGACACCCAGGGGGCAAUGGCGUUCAAUCCACCCCAGUCAUGGCUGCCAGACGGCGCUCACCUUACUGCUGUCCCCCAUCCACUCAGCAAUGAUGGUAGGCUCUCCUGUGUGCCUCUUCUCCAUGCUCGGUGGUCAGCACAUGGAACUUAAUGUCCCGCUUCUCAUCAAUGUGAUGGCUCGUGGCAAUGAUGUAUGACCGCGUGUUCAGAUUGCAGAGAUAUCAUUGUACAAUUUCACUUUCUGGGGCUUCACGGUUUUUCUUGUAGUCUGGUUCUAGAUAUACCAUCAGGGCAUUGAAGCCGACAUCCUCUACCAUUGACAAUGGCUGCAUAUUAACUGCAAUAGUUUCUAUAAUCAGCGCUGUUCUCCAUCCCUUAUCGCACUUUUCUUGUGAAGAUCCUGUCUUUUGUUGGGGUCCUGUGCUGCUGCCAGCAAUGUUUCGAGUCUCGCGGUGCCUCCCUUUCAGAUAGUUGAGCAUUGUACCUGUACUGCCAUUGUAGCUCAAUUCCACUUUGCAAAGUUUUGCAUUUCACUACCUAAUUUAACCUCUAAUUAUUGCCGUAUGGGACUUUGCUGCUGUCGCUUCCCUGUCUCACUCUGACAUUUUCUCAACUGUUAGCAAUGAUGACGUGCGGCGGCGCGCUUUAUAUUCGUGGCAAAUAAUUUUGAAAGAUUCAUAUCUCCUAACGUUACAGCAUUGUUGCGUUGGGUAUGUUUAUUUUGUCCCAUUUAUGACUGGUGACCUUUUUUAAUGGUAGUUGUGUGAUGACUAACUGCACUGUGAUUUUAAUUGUGGGGGGGGGGGGACUGUUCUUCGGUGAACGAUUUUUUUCAAAAUGUUUACAAUCCCUGGCAAUCCCUUUAAUUUAAAUGGCCACUUCUAGUCCUGACCAGAAAUGCCGGUAUGGUGUUGGCUACUGUAUGGGUCUGUCUAGUCACACCCAUGAAUCCCUCCUGUCUCCCCUCAGGUCUACACCCCCACCAGUCGAGCGGCCCCAUGCCCAACCCGGCUCUCUACGCUGCUCCCCCUGUCUCCAUGUCCCCUGGACAGCCCCCUCCACAGCAGCUGUUGGCCCCGUCAUUCUACCCUCCGCCAGGUGUCAUGACCUUUGGGAACACCAACUACCCCUACCCGGCAGGAGCCACCCUGCCCCCCAUGUACAACCCCCCGGCCCAGUCGCAGGUGUACGGCCAGUCGCAGGUGUACGGUGGGGUGACGUACUACGACCCGAUGCAGCAGCAAGCCCAGCCCAAACCCUCGCCUCCCCGGCGUUCCUCCCAGCCCGUCACCGUCAAACCUCCCCCACCAGAGGUAGGGUACGGCCCGGAGUGAGCCCCAAACCCCAGCGACCCAACAACUGGACCGGAGUGGGAAGGCCAGUCAGGAGGUCAGAUCCUAGCACGAUGUUCCGAAUGACUACACCAGUCGGAAGAGAGCGAGGGACAGGGAGACUGGGUCUGCAAUAGAGGACCAGCACCACCUGUGGAGCGGAUGAUGAAUCGUUUUUAUCUGCCUUGUGUUCAGGUGCACCAUUGGUCGGUCGCCCACAAUGCUGAAUGGUUUUUCGCUGUUUUGGUUCACCUACCAGUGUUUUGCCUCUGAGUGGAGUGCUGUCUUAAAACCCCUAUAAAAUGUAACCAUAUAAAACCGUUAACGAAAGCCCUUGGUAAACAACUCCUCUUUAAACAUUACUUGACACCGAUGACGACAUUCGUAGAAUUUUGUUCCUUCUAACAAUCUGUCGUUCAACUGUAGGUAUAUUCAUGCAAAAAACGUGUUGUAAGCUCGAACAAAUGUUUAGGACUGGGUUAAAUGUGUCGUGAGUAUUAUGGAGAGUUAUAACUGGGAUAGGUAGUCAUUUUAUGUGGGCUAGCUAGAGCUGUGUUCAUCCCACCCACCAGACAGAUUCUACUCCAGUGUUUCCGGAACCCUCCAUAGCUAAAAAAAAAAAAAAAAAGUUUUUACAUUUACACUCCCCUACGUAUUUAUUUGGACAGUGAAGCAAAACUUUAAAUGUCUACUCCAGCGUUUUGGAUUUGAGGUCAAUGUUUCAUACGAGGCGGCAGUACAGAAUGUCGUCCUUCUGUUUAAUUUAAGGAUCUUUUAAUAAAUAUCUUUUUUUUUCUCUUUUUUUAAAAAUGAAAGCACUAUGUAUCUAGUCCAAUCAAAUGAAAUAUUUGAAUCUCAUCUAAAUGCUGGAGUAGAGACAAAUAAUACAAUUUUGCUUCACUGUCCAACUAAAUACGUGGAGGAGUGUCAUUUCAUCUCACAACGGCAUCGUAUGCCUUAGUUAUUAUUUUAUGGUUUUAAGUCUCGUUAACGCACUUUUUUUAGAUAAAGAAUAAAUCCUAUAUACAAAUGGUGCUAACCUAUAGCUAGUACCCUAGAAUUUCAAUAACUUGUUAUUUUCCAUUUCUCUUGAUACCUUCCACAUUGUACUGUUUUUGUUUGUUGUUUAAACGUAUUACUGUAUUACCAGAGAACCAUUUAACUUUGCCUGAAACUGAUGUACUUGACAGUGCUACUGCUUGGUGAUAGCUUUCUCUAAUGUAAGUGUGUAUAUAGAUAAAUGUAUAUUAAAGCCUGUGGCUUAAAUUCGUAUAAAUACUACCACCUUAUCAAAUGAAUACUGUCACAAUGAACAAAAGUCUGCAGGGAUGUCCAGUCUGUUUUCUGUAUACAUGGUUAUGGAUGGAUAAAAAAUACAUUUAAAAACGUCUGGCUUUUGACAUUUUAAAUGGUCGUUUGGAGGUUUGCUUUUUCCUUAUUUCCUCAGAAUCCUUUUUGUAAAAGUAGAGUGACUGGUGUGGCCACUCAACCACUAAACUGGAUCUGAUUGGUCUGUUUGCAGAACAUACUGCUGAUCUGAAAUGUUUUUUUUUUGCCUAAAGAAAAUUCCUAUAACUGCUGCGUUUCACACAGGCAGCCCAAUUCUGAGCGUUUUCCACUAAUUGUUCUUUUGACUAAUCACAUCAGAUAUUUUUCAGAUCUGAUUGGUCAAAAGACUUUGAAUAGAAUUCUAAAAGCAACCUAACAAACCUACAAUACAUGCAUGUUAUACAUACAUAGAUAUGAUUGUGAAAAUAAUUCAGUUGGUGCUGGUGGCUGCAAGCUGUUAUAUUAAGUCUGCCUGGAAAAGGGCAGGUUAUUGAUGUAUCUUUAAAUUGGCUAUCUUUUCUUAAACUACUGAAUCAGUAUAAACUGAAUUGAGUUGUAUUAAGUUAUUUGUUUAGAAAUGGCUGGUAAUGUUAUUUUAAAUAUUUUAUUUUCUCUGCCUUAAGAAUAAAUUGGUUUGAAAUGUUUCAUUUUAAAUAAAGGUUAAAUUUUAAAUGACGACCUGCCAACACUGAGGGCUUGUUUCAUAGAUGUUUGAAUAUAAAAUGUUUCUUUGUGGAGCAAAUUUUGUUUAGACAGAGGAAUAUUAAACAAAGUAUAGGAUAA